rnacentral:tRNA from 1 species
UAUUAGCUCAGUUGGUUAGAGCGCACCCCUGAUAAGGGUGAGGUCGGUGGUUCAAAUCCACCCAGACC